UGUGUGUGUGUGUGUGUGUGCGUUAGUGUGUGUGUGUGUGUGUGUGUGUGUGCGUUAGUGUGUGUGUGACUACAGUCUCGUAUAAAGUUGUUAAUAAAUGUGUGUGAACUGUAGAGACCUCAAGGUCCUACAAGACCUGGUCCUGGUCCAGAUCAAUGAGACACAGAGCUUAGUCCUGCAUGUGUAUGUGAGUGUGUGUGUGGCAGAGCCUCUUAAUGGUUUAAUGUCACUUCCUGUUGGACUGGUUGAACAGAGUCUCUUGAUGCCAACAUUUAAAUGUUUUUCAUGUUCAGACAAAAAGCAGCAGAUUAAAGUCUCACUCACACACACACACACACACACACACACACACACACACAGACACACACACACACACACACA